CUCCAGAUGUUGCUGAACUACAACUCCCAUGAUUCAGUUUAUUAAAUAGCCUGAGAAUCAUGGGAGUUGUAGUUCAGCAACAUCUGGAG
rnacentral:miRNA from 1 species